CCUACGGGAGGCAGCAGUGAGGAAUAUUGGUCAAUGGGCGCGAGCCUGAACCAGCCAAGUAGCGUGAAGGAUGACUGCCCUACGGGUUGUAAACUUCUUUUAUAAAGGAAUAAAGUGAGGCACGUGUGCCUUUUUGUAUGUACUUUAUGAAUAAGCAUCGGCUAACUCCGUGCCAGCAGCCGCGGUAAUACGGAGGAUCCGAGCGUUAUCCGGAUUUAUUGGGUUUAAAGGGAGCGUAGUGGGGUUGUUAAGUCAGUUGUGAAAGUUUGCGGCUCAACCGUAAGAUUGCAGUUGAUACUGGCAGCCUUGAGUACAGUUGAGGUAGGCGGAAUUCGUGGUGUAGCGGUGAAAUGCUUAGAUAUCACGAAGAACUCCGAUUGCGAAGGCAGCGUACUAGCCUGCCACUGACAUUGAUGCUCGAAAGUGUGGGUAUCAAACAGGAUUAGAUACCCUGGUAGUC
rnacentral:rRNA from 1 species